rnacentral:misc_RNA from 1 species
AUGCGAUAAGUAGUGUGAAUUGCAGAAUUCAGUGAAUCAUCGAAUCUUUGAACGCACAUUGCGCCCGCCAGUAUUCUGGCGGGCAUGCCUGUUCGAGCGUCAUUUCAACCCUUGGGCCCCCGUUGCUCAGCGUUGGGAGACCGCGCCUCACCGCGCGCCUCCCCAAAGUCAGUGGCGGAGCCGGCUGGCGCCCCAGACGUAGUAGAUCUCUAUCUCGCCUGCAGCGCCCGCCCGCCUCCCGCCGUAAAACACCCCCCAUCCAAAAGGUUGACCUCGGAUCAGGUAGGAAUACCCGCUGAACUUAA